rnacentral:rRNA from 1 species
AAUAGAUACCCUGGUAGUCCAUGCCGUAAACGUUGGGCACUAGGUGUGGGGCUCAUUCCACGAGUUCCGUGCCGCAGCAAACGCAUUAAGUGCCCCGCCUGGGGAGUACGGCCGCAAGGCUAAAACUCAAAGGAAUUGACGGGGGCCCGCACAAGCGGCGGAGCAUGCGGAUUAAUUCGAUGCAACGCGAAGAACCUUACCAAGGCUUGACAUGCACGGGAAGCCACCAGAGAUGGUGGUCUCUUUGGACACUCGUGCACAGGUGGUGCAUGGUUGUCGUCAGCUCGUGUCGUGAGAUGUUGGGUUAAGUCCUUUAACGAGCGCAACCCUUGCUGCCAGUUGCAACUUGUCUUUGACAAGGCACUCUGGUGGACUGCCUGGGAAACCAGGAGGAAGGUGGGGACGACGUCAAGUCAUCAUGGUCCUUAUGUCCAGGGCUACACACGUGUUACAAUGGCCGAUACAGCGGGUUGCAAUUCCGUAAGGAGGAGCUAAUCCCCUAAAGUCGGUCUAAGUUCGGAUUGGGGUCUG